UUUCACCCUUUCUUCAUUUCUACCGAGUCCUCCACUGCCAUGCCCCCAGUGAUGGUGUUUAUCAUACCAGCUAGGGGUUGGUCUUCAUGCGACCCCAUCUGCUGUGGUUGCUCCACCAACCGAGGGGACCUCUGCUACUCCUACCUCCAUCGGAUGAACUGAUCGAGAUGGCCAUGCCUGAUAAACUCUUCGAUCUCAUCCUAGAGCUGAAUGCCUCCUCGAUGUCAUGGCCAUGGUCCCGAUGGCACAAAUAAUAUUUGUUUUGAUUUCUCUAAUUUGGAAAUGUCUGUAUCUUCAUCGACUCUGAGAGCUAUCC
rnacentral:lncRNA from 1 species